rfam:Aedes albopictus isolate Foshan contig70635, whole genome shotgun sequence.
UAGCCAAGUGGUUAAGGCUAUGGAUCGCCAAUCCGGAGACAGCGGGUUUGAUUCCCGU